rnacentral:lncRNA from 10 species
CCAGCAGCAAUGAUGAGCGUUCCUGUUGCUCCACACCCUGGCCAGCAUUUGGUGGUGUUGGUGGCCGUGUUUUGGCCAUUCUAAUAGGUGUGUAGUGGUAUCUAUUGUUGUUUAAUUUGCAUUUCCCUAAUGAUGUAUAAUGGUGAGCAUCUCUUCAUGGCUUAUUUGCCAUCUGUGUGUCUUCUUUGAUGAGGCAUCUUUCAGGUCUUUUGCCUGUUUCUGUAAUUGGGCUGUUCCUUUUCUUACUGCAGG